rnacentral:tRNA from 1 species
GACCGCGUAGCUCAGUUGGCAGAGCAUUGGGCUAGUAUUCCAAAGGUCGUAGGUUCGAAUCCCACCAUGGCUG